UCUUAAGAGCAAAGACAGUGUUUCUUGAGAUGGAAUCUACUCCUGGUGAAGAUACCGGGAA
rnacentral:pre_miRNA from 1 species